UACGUAGGGGGCAAGCGUUGUUCGGAAUUACUGGGCGUAAAGGGCUCGUAGGUGGCCAACUAAGUCGGACGUGAAAUCCCUCAGCUUAACUGGGGAACUGCGUCCGAUACUGGAUGGCUUGAGUUUGGGAGAGGGAUGCGGAAUUCCAGGUGUAGCGGUGAAAUGCGUAGAUAUCUGGAGGAACACCGGUGGCGAAGGCGGCAUCCUGGACCAACACUGACACUGAGGAGCGAAAGCCAGGGGAGCAAACGGG
rnacentral:rRNA from 1 species